rnacentral:rRNA from 1 species
GCUUGUCUCAAAGAUUAAGCCAUGCAUGUCUUAGUGUAAAUAACUCUUAUGAAACUGCGAAUGGCUCAUUAAAUCAGUUAUCAAAUACGUGAUGGUCGCCUACUACAUGGAUAACCGUAGUAAUUCUAGAGCUAAUACAUGCGAAAAGUCCUGACUUCUUCGUGAGGUAGGGAUGUAUUUAUUAGAUACAAUCAAACGCACCAACAUAAAACCUUGGUGAUUCAUAAUAACUGUUCGGAUCGUAUGGCUUUUUGCCGACGACAGAUCAUUCAAAUUUCUGCCCUAUCAGCUUUCGACGGUACUGUAGUGGACUACCGUGGCAUUAACGGGUGACGGAGAAUUAGGGUUCGAUUCCGGAGAGGGAGCCUGAGAAAUGGCUACCACAUCCAAGGAAGGCAGCAGG